rnacentral:rRNA from 1 species
CUCUGUGGAUCAGUGGCGAACGGGUGAGUAACACGUGAGCAACCUGCCCCGGACUCUGGGAUAAGCGCUGGAAACGGCGUCUAAUACCGGAUACGAGAUUCCACCGCAUGGUGAGUUUCUGGAAAGAUUUUUUGGUCUGGGAUGGGCUCACGGCCUAUCAGCUUGUUGGUGAGGUAAUGGCUCACCAAGGCGUCGACGGGUAGCCGGCCUGAGAGGGUGACCGGCCACACUGGGACUGAGACACGGCCCAGACUCCUACGGGAGGCAGCAGUGGGGAAUAUUGCACAAUGGGCGGAAGCCUGAUGCAGCAACGCCGCGUGAGGGAUGACGGCCUUCGGGUUGUAAACCUCUUUUAGCAGGGAAGAAGCGAAAGUGACGGUACCUGCAGAAAAAGCGCCGGCUAACUACGUGCCAGCAGCCGCGGUAAUACGUAGGGCGCAAGCGUUAUCCGGAAUUAUUGGGCGUAAAGAGCUCGUAGGCGGUUUGUCGCGUCUGCUGUGAAAUCCCGAGGCUCAACCUCGGGUCUGCAGUGGGUACGGGCAGACUAGAGUGCGGUAGGGGAGAUUGGAAUUCCUGGUGUAGCGGUGGAAUGCGCAGAUAUCAGGAGGAACACCGAUGGCGAAGGCAGAUCUCUGGGCCGUUACUGACGCUGAGGAGCGAAAGGGUGGGGAGCAAACAGGCUUAGAUACCCUGGUAGUCCACCCCGUAAACGUUG